GGGCUUGACCUGGCCUGGAUGAUAUCACAAAGGGCUUGACCUGGCCUGGAUGAUAUCACAAAGGGCUUGACCUGGCCUGGAUGAUAUCACAAAGAAAAGCACAGAGGGAUGGGAUGUCACAAAGGGCUGCUCACAGAGGGAUCUGGGUAGAGGCAGGUGGGGGGAAAAGGGAAGGUGUUUCAUGAUUAGACUGGCCCUAGGAGGCAGAACCACCAUCUUUAUAGGCCAGAGUGGGGAUACUGUAGCUCCCACGUACUGCUGUCAGCCACAACAUAGGAGGACAAGCAAAAUACCUUCUGCUGCACUACAUACAAGUGAACACACAUCAUUUAAACCUAUCUGUUGAUUAACUAAGUCUCUCACACGAACCCCUUCUAUGCCUCAUUGCUUAUCCGGAUUCUAAAGUGUCCUCGUUAUCAGAAAGCAUGUUUGUUAUGUGCUUGCAUGCAUGCACACGUGUGUUUGUGUGUGUCAUUCAUCAAUAUGUGUGUGUGUGUUGCUCAUCAAUUUGUGUGUUACUCAUCUGUGUGUGUGUGUGUGUUCCAGGUGAUGCCUGUGGUGGUGACAGGGUUUGGGGUGGCCAGUUUCCCCAGCACUGAGGACUCUGAGGGUAUGGUCCUACCCUUCUCUGCCCUGCACUGUGGGGGGGUCCGAGGGGAGUCCAGCGGAAACCUCAUGGUAAGGUUCUGUACACUGCUCCAACUGGAGAAUGGGUGCAGUACAUUCUAGAAUAGGCAUGCAAUGCAGUGGUUAUGUAACAUGGGGCCCUUUCUUUCGUCCUUUGCAGAUCACAAACCACAGAAUCAUCAUACCAAUUAAAGGCCAGGUAGAUGUGAUGGUGACUGUGGAGCGCUGUCAGCUGUGGAAGUACAGCAUCUGGGACAGGGAGGAGCUACAGGAGAGAGGGCUGGGGUGUGAGGUCAAGGGAGAGAUGGGGCAGCCUCCCCCCGCCCUCCUCCUCCUCUACGUGUCAGAGGCCCAGGCAGUCGCCGUUCAAGAAGACCUGAGGGAGCUGUCAAUCAAACAGGCCUUAGAACCACCCACUGGCCAGGCCAGUCCCUUCCUCCUGCUGACUCUGCAUGCCCCUCUGGAGGGGGUGGAAGGGGCUCUACUUCGCUCCAUCCUCGACAUCAUCUGUCUCAACAACGUCGACGCUGCAUGUCUCUGGGGGAACGCUCCCAUCAACGAGGCGGUGGUCCUCCACAGUCCCCUCCUGUCAUUGGAUGACAGUCUGGCGCUGAUCGGUAGAACCGGACUAGACCAUCAGCUGCUCUCCCUACUGGGACAGAACAAUGCCGAGCCUGUCACAGAACCCGACCAAGACAGAGACACACCUGGGCCAAAUCUGGACACUGUGGAGGGAGAGUCACAGACACCACCGGAGACAGAGGUACAGGCAGAGGAGGAGGAGCAGAGGGAGGCAGAGAGCGUACCCCUCGCUGAGGUUGGUAGUACUGUGUGUGUGUGUUUGGGUGUGGAGACGGAUGUCAUCAAGCUCUACAUGAAUGAUCAAAUGAACAACAUGUAA
rnacentral:lncRNA from 1 species